rnacentral:rRNA from 1 species
UACGUAGGGUGCGAGCGUUGUCCGGAUUUAUUGGGCGUAAAGAGCUCGUAGGUGGUUUGUCGCGUUGUUCGUGAAAACUCACAGCUCAACUGUGGGCGUGCGGGCGAUACGGGCAGACUAGAGUACUGCAGGGGAGACUGGAAUUCCUGGUGUAGCGGUGGAAUGCGCAGAUAUCAGGAGGAACACCGGUGGCGAAGGCGGGUCUCUGGGCAGUAACUGACGCUGAGGAGCGAAAGCGUGGGGAGCGAACAGG